UACGGGGGGGGCAAGCGUUGUUCGGAAUUACUGGGCGUAAAGGGCUCGUAGGUGGCCAACUAAGUCAGACGUGAAAUCCCUCGGCUUAACCGGGGAACUGCGUCUGAUACUGGAUGGCUUGAGUUUGGGAGAGGGACGCGGAAUUCCAGGUGUGAGCGGUGAAAUGCGUAGAUAUCUGGAGGAACACCGGUGGCGAAGGCGGCGUCCUGGACCCAACACUGACACUGAUGAGCGAAAGCCAGGGAGCAAACGGG
rnacentral:rRNA from 1 species